CUUCCACCCAACUGGAAAAAGGAGAACUGCAUUCGAGACCUGGUAAGAGAAGUCCAGGAGGCAGGUGGAUAUAGGAGCCUAGAGUGCAGACGAGAUACUGGGCUGGAGAUAUAAAUUUGGGAGUGGCUGACAUACAGAUGGCACUUAAAGCCAUGAGACAAGAUGAAAUCACCCAAGGAGUAUAAACAGAUGGAAAAGAACAGAUAGAAAAGGAAGGAGAUCACUACAGCAUUGAGGUCAAAGAGAAGGAGGAUCAGCAAAGGGAAAAGACAGAUGAGUGAGAUAGGAGGAAUGUGGGAGAGGAGGGAGCCAUGAAGACCUGUGAAGUAAGUAGAUAGAGAUGAGAGACGAUCGGCCAUGCCCUGUGUUGCUGAUGGAGAAAGGGAAGGGAGAACUGAGAACUGAAUGAUGGGUUUAAGGACUUGGUGACCUUGACAAGAGCAGCUCUUCUCAACAGUGAGGGGAAGAACAUGAAUGGAGUGGGUUUAAGAAAAAAUAAGAGCAAGGAAUUGGAGACAGUGAGCACAGACAAUUCUUCAAGUUGUUUUGCUGCAGAGGGAGACAAAGAGAUUGGGCAAGCAGGGAAGUGGCAUCAAGAGAACAUGGAAGGGGGCGCCUGGGUGGCUCAGUUGGCUAAGCGACUGCCUUCGGCUCAGGUCAUGA